rnacentral:rRNA from 1 species
GGCUACCAUGCAGUCGAGGGGCAGCAUUUUAGUUUGCUUGCAAACUGAAGAUGGCGACCGGCGCACGGGUGAGUAACACGUAUCCAACCUGCCGAUAACUCCGGAAUAGCCUUUCGAAAGAAAGAUUAAUACCGGAUAGCAUACGAAUAUCGCAUGAUAUUUUUAUUAAAGAAUUUCGGUUAUCGAUGGGGAUGCGUUCCAUUAGUUUGUUGGCGGGGUAACGGCCCACCAAGACUACGAUGGAUAGGGGUUCUGAGAGGAAGGUCCCCCACAUUGGAACUGAGACACGGUCCAAACUCCUACGGGAGGCAGCAGUGAGGAAUAUUGGUCAAUGGGCGAGAGCCUGAACCAGCCAAGUAGCGUGAAGGAUGAAGGCUCUAUGGGUCGUAAACUUCUUUUAUAUGGGAAUAAAGUUUUCCACGUGUGGAAUUUUGUAUGUACCAUAUGAAUAAGGAUCGGCUAACUCCGUGCCAGCAGCCGCGGUAAUACGGAGGAUCCGAGCGUUAUCCGGAUUUAUUGGGUUUAAAGGGAGCGUAGGUGGAUUGUUAAGUCAGUUGUGAAAGUUUGCGGCUCAACCGUAAAAUUGCAGUUGAAACUGGCAGUCUUGAGUACAGUAGAGGUGGGCGGAAUUCGUGGUGUAGCGGUGAAAUGCUUAGAUAUCACGAAGAACUCCGAUUGCGAAGGCAGCUCACUAGACUGUCACUGACACUGAUGCUCGAAAGUGUGGGUAUCAAACAGGAUUAGAUACCCUGGUAGUCCACACAGUAAACGAUGAAUACUCGCUGUUUGCGAUAUACAGUAAGCGGCCAAGCGAAAGCAUUAAGUAUUCCACCUGGGGAGUACGCCGGCAACGGUGAAACUCAAAGGAAUUGACGGGGGCCCGCACAAGCGGAGGAACAUGUGGUUUAAUUCGAUGAUACGCGANGGAACCUUACCCGGGCUUAAAUUGCAACAGAAUAUAUUGGAAACAGUAUAGCCGUAAGGCUGUUGUGAAGGUGCUGCAUGGUUGUCGUCAGCUCGUGCCGUGAGGUGUCGGCUUAAGUGCCAUAACGAGCGCAACCCUUAUCUUUAGUUACUAACAGGUCAUGCUGAGGACUCUAGAGAGACUGCCGUCGUAAGAUGUGAGGAAGGUGGGGAUGACGUCAAAUCAGCACGGCCCUUACGUCCGGGGCUACACACGUGUUACAAUGGGGGGUACAGAAGGCGGCUACCUGGUGACAGGAUGCUAAUCCCAAAAACCUCUCUCAGUUCGGAUCGAAGUCUGCAACCCGACUUCGUGAAGCUGGAUUCGCUAGUAAUCGCGCAUCAGCCAUGGCGCGGUGAAUACGUUCCCGGGCCUUGUACACACCGCCCGUCAAGCCAUGAAAGCCGGGGGUACCUGAAGUACGAACCGCAAGGAGCUCCUAGGAAAC